rnacentral:rRNA from 1 species
GAUGAACGCUAGCUACAGGCUUAACACAUGCAAGUCGAGGGGAAACGACAUCGAAAGCUUGCUUUUGAUGGGCGUCGACCGGCGCACGGGUGAGUAACGCGUAUCCAACCUGCCCAUCACUUGGGAAUAACCUUGCGAAAGUAAGACUAAUACCCAAUGAUAUCCCACGAAGGCAUCGGAAUGGGAUUAAAGAUUUAUCGGUGAUGGAUGGGGAUGCGUCUGAUUAGCUUGUUGGCGGGGUAACGGCCCACCAAGGCAACGAUCAGUAGGGGUUCUGAGAGGAAGGUCCCCCACAUUGGAACUGAGACACGGCCCAAACUCCUACGGGAGGCAGCAGUGAGGAAUAUUGGUCAAUGGGCGAGAGCCUGAACCAGCCAAGUAGCGUGCAGGAAGACGGCCCUAUGGGUUGUAAACUGCUUUUAUAAGGGAAUAAAGUGGGUCACGUGUGACUUUUUGCAUGUACCUUAUGAAUAAGGACCGGCUAAUUCCGUG